rnacentral:lncRNA from 1 species
GGGGGGCGGGGAAAGGGAGGGGUGCGGGGAGGAGGAGCGCUGCUCGGCACGGAUCGGCGCGGGUCGGCACGAUUCGGAGGAGUUUGGCACGGUUGAGCACAGUUCAACACGGUUCAGAACAGUUUGGCACAGUUCAGCACUGUUUAGCAUGGUUCAGCACGGUUUGGUGCAGAUCGGCACGGUUCGGCACGAUUCAGAACGGUUCAGAGCAGUUUGGCACGGUUCGGCACGGUUCGGCACGGUUUGGUGCAGAUCGGCAUGGUUGGGCAUGGUUCAGAACAGCUUAGCAUGGUUUGGUGAAGUUCAGCAUGAUUCAGAAGUGUUUAGCACGGUUCAGAACAGUUUGGCACAGUUCAGCACUGUUUAGCAUGGUUCAGCACGGUUCAGUUUGGCACAGUUUGGCAUGGUUCUGCACAGUUUGGCGCAGAUUGGCACGGCUCGGCACGGUUCAGCACGGUUCAGAACAGUUUGGCACAGGUCAGCACUGUUUAGCAUGGUUCAGCACGGUUCAGUUUAGCACAGUUUGGCAUGGUUCUGCACAGUUUGGCGCAGAUUGGCACGGCUCGGCACGGGUCAGCACGGUUCAGAACAGUUUGGCACAGUUUGGCGUGGUUCCGCACAGUUUGGCGCAGAUUGGCACAGUUCAGCAUGGUUCAGAACUGUUUAGCACGGUUUGGCACAGUUCGGCAUGGUUCAGAACAAUUCAGAACAGUUUAGCACGGUUCGGCAUGAUCCAGCAUGAUUCAGCACUGUUUAGCACAGUUCAGAACUGUUUAGCACAGUCCAGAACGGUUCAGAACUGUUUAGCACGGUUCAGCACGGUUCAGAACAGUUUGGCACAGUUUGGCAUGGUUCAGCAUGGUUUGGUGCAGAUCGGCACGGUUCAGCAUGGUUCAGCACAGUUUAGCACGGUUUGGCGAAGUUCAGCACGGUUCAGAACAGUUUGGCACAGUUUGGCGCAGAUUGGCAUGGUUCGGCACAGUUCAGCAUGGUUCAGAACUGUUUAGCAUGGUUUGGCACAGUUCGGCAUGGUUCAGAACGAUUCAGAACAGUUUAGCACGGUUCGGCAUGAUCCAGCAUGAUUCAGCACUGUUUAGCACAGUUCAGAGCUGUUUAGCAUAGUCCAGCACAGUUCAGAACUGUUUAGCACGGUUCAGAAUGGUUCAGAACAGUUUGGCACAGCUCGGCAUGGGUCGGCACAGUUUGGUGCAGAUUGGCACAGCUCGGCACAGUUCAGAAUGGUUCAGAGCAGUUUGGUACGGUUCAGAACAGUUUGAUACAGUUUGGCAUGGUUCAGCAUGGUUUGGUGCAGAUCGGCACGGUUCGGCACGGUUCAGAACAGUUUAGCAUGGUUUGGCGAAGUUCAGCACAGUUCAGAACAGUUUGGCACGGUUCAGCACUGUUCAGCACGGUUCAGAAUAGUUUGGCACAGUUCGGCAUGGUUCGGCACAGUUCAGCACAGCUCAGAAGUGUUUAGCAUGGUCCAGCAUGAUUCAGCACUGUUUAGCACGGUUCAGAACAGUUUGGCACAGCUCGGCAUGGUUCGGAAUGGUUUGGCAUGGUUCAGAACUGUUUAGCGCAGUCCAGCGCGGUUCAGAGCUGUUUAGCACGGUUCAGCAUGGUUCAGAACACUUUGACACAGUUUGGCAUGGUUCAGCACGGUUUGGUGCAAAUCGGCAUGGUUCGGCACAGUUCAGAACAGUUUAGCACGGUUUGGCGAAGUUCAGCACGGUUCAGAACAGUUUGGCAUGGUUCAGCACGGUUCAGAAUAGUUUGGCACAGUUUGGCAUGGUUCCGCACAGUUUGGCGCAGAUCGGCAUGGUUCGGCACAGUUCAGAACUGUUUAGCAUGGUCCAGCACAGUUUGGCACAGUUCGACAUGGUUCAGAACGAUUCAGAACACUUUAGCACGGUUUGGCAUGGUCCAGCAUGAUUCAGCACUGUUUGCACCGUUCAGAACUGUGUAGCACACUGCAGCACAGUCUGGCACAGUUCAGGACAGUUUGGCACGGUUUAACCUGAUUUGGCAUAGUUCAGAACAAUUCAGAACAGUUUGGCACGGUUCGGCACAGUUCAGCAUGGUUAAGAACGAUUCAAAACAGUUCAGCAUGGUUCGGCACAGUUCAGCACAGUUCAGAACGGUUUGGCACAGUUUGGCAUGGUUCGGCACAGUUCAGCAUGGUUCAGCACAAUUCAGAAUAAUUCAGAACAGUUUAGCACAGUUCGGCAUGGUUCAGCACGGUUUGGCACAGUUCAAAACUGUUUAACACAGUCCAGCACGGUUCGGCACAGUUCAGGACAGUUUGGCACGGUCCUGGCAUAGUUCAGCAUGGGUCAAAAUGAUUCAGAAUAGUUUAGCACGGUUCAGCAUGGUUCACAACAGUUUAGCAUGUUUCAGCAUCGUUCGGCACAGUUCAGAACAGUUUAGC